AUAGGGCAGAGGAAGCAAUCGGAUAGGCAUUUGCUUCAGAGCAAUCACUGCACCCAGCCACCUCUAUAUACAUGUACACAAAGCCACACAGUUUACACAGUCACAGGUAUUUAAGUACACACUAUUCACACACAAAUACAUAUAUAGACACACAUGUACAGUCCGUCCAAAAUAUAUGUACAUAAAAGCACACUAUUACACCUUCAUAUGUGCACACACACACACACCCAGACUCACUUCAUACACACAUAGAUACAACAGCCACAGCUCCCCAUCACCUACACACACACACACACACCUGGACACCCAGCUCUAAUAUAAUCAGAUAGAGAUAUGCAUGCAGACAAAUUUGCCUGUAUAGUCAAACACAUAGGCAAAUAGAGAACGAGACACCACAUGAACAAAGGCAAACCUACACACAAAGACACAGAGCACACUUACGCAUAUAUCUAUAGACCCACCAUGGCACAUAUGGGUAAGUGCACACAGGCAAACUCACACACACGAGCAUGCACAGGCAGAGAACACAAAUGUACACUCCCAGGUGUCAUAAAGAACAGCCCAGCUUCGGCUUGGGAACGUCACAUCAGACAAUAGGAACGGCUGCACCGCGCGUUUCCUCGGCUGCCAGCUUCCCAGCCACAGAGGAUGCCUCACCUGCUAUGUCAGCUCCCCUCUGCCCCACCUCACAAGAAGCUCAGAAGCUGAGGAGUCACAGAGAGACCUCCCUACUGUGUCAGAGGAAUAGGUCCUUCUGUCACGGGGCACAGGACCCUUGACCGCAAAAUGACGUGAGUUACCACUGACUAUUUUCUGGGUCUUGAUCUUGUGACUCCAAAUGGAUGCAUUUUAGGACCCAAAGGGACCUAAGAGAGUGCUCAGACAGCUGGCUGCGUUAGGAGCUACCUGUGGCUGCUGAAGAAGAGUUUGCGUCAAUUUAAAGAAAGAGCCAUUCAAGGAAUGAGGACCAUGACCUUGGCUGCACUGACCAGCUGGGCUCUGGAGACUCAGUGAGGCUGCCCAGCCACCAACAGGCCCUGCACAAUAGAUCCACGGACCCAGCAGUCAGAGGUGACCCUAGGGGUCACUGGCCCGUGGCUAAGGAGGAGGAGCACAGACCUGCGACCCCCUUUUCCCAUGGACCACCCAGGGAGGCUGAGCGGGGACUCUGAGCUCAGAUGGACAACCUCAGAGCCACUGGGAAUUUGCCUGAGGCCACUGGGGCCAGGGUUAAAUCCAUAUGAAGCAGCGCGGGCUGUGCACCUGCCAUUUUCUAGGCUCUGUCACAUGCAUCUUUCUGCCAAAUCUCAUGGUGAUCCUUCAAGAAUAGUACUAUUAAUCUCCCCAUUGACAGAGGGAGAAAGGGAGGCUCAGAGACGUUAAGUGUCUCACCAAAGCUCACACAGCUUCCAAGCAAUAGAACUUUACUCAGUACUCAGUACAGGUUAACAUUUAUUCAUUCACUCGAUAACCAUUUGCAGCACAGCUACCAUAUGCCAGGCAGUGUUCUAGGCACUUAGAAUACAUAGAUGAGCAAAACAGGCAAAACCUUUCCCUCAGGGCGUUACCAUUUGAGUGCCACCAUGCCACGGCUGGUACAGUUGCUAUUGAGACAAACAAAAUAAGACCCAGUUUUUGCCUUUGGGGAGUAGGUAGUCUAGUGGAGGAGGCACAUACACAGAAAAUUCCAAAGUACUGUGGAAAUCUCAGGGUACUUUGAUAGGGAUUACCAGAGGAGCUGUGAGAAUAAAGGCUGGAUAUCAGGGAAGGCUUCCUGGAAGAGGUGUUGCCUGAAAUGAGCCUGGAAGGAUCACUUAGGGACAGAAAAGUCAUUCCGUGUAGAAUUCAUGGUGAGUGACAGAGCCUAAACCCAGUCUCUUUUGCAUGCUGAGCACUGAGACCCAGACGCUGGUGCUCAGACCUGAUGACUUAUUUUCCCAGGUACAGCUUGAGCAAAGACACAGAAGCAGAAGGCAGGUUUUUGGUUCCAUGAACUCUACAUCUGGCUACAUACAAAUGGUGAAGAGGAACAGGGAGAAACAUGGUUGAAAAGAACAGGCUUGGACUUCAGGAAGCAGUAAAAUGAGCGAAUGCCAUUUAUGGUUACAAAGAUAACUCAGCUGGGGGCCAAACAGAGACUGAAAUGGAGUGGGUGAGGAUGGAGGCCGGGAGGAGAUGGCUGCAGAGGUCCCAGCAAUGACAGUGGUUGUGGGAAGGGGCAACCCCAAGUCUUGUGCUCCCAACUGCAAAUCCAGUGCUUUUUCUAAAAAAAUAUUUAAAUAAUUUAUUUAUUUUUGAGAUGGAGUCUCGCUCUGUCACCCAGGCUGGAGUGCAGUGACACAAUGUCGGCUCGUGCAACCUCUGCCCCCCGGGUUCAAGCGAUUCUCCUGCCUCAGCCUCCCAAGUAGCUGGGAUUACAGACGCACGCCUCCACGCCUGGCUAAUUUUUUAUAUUUUUGGUAGAGAUGGGGUUUCACCAUGUUGCCCAGGCUGGUCUCGAACUCCUGACUUCAAGUGAUCCACCCACCUCGGCCUCCCAAAGUACUAGGAUGACAGGCGUGAGCCACUGUGCCCAGCCUUAUUUUUUUUUUUAAUUUAUAUUUUCAGAGGCAAACGAUCCUUGCUCAUUAAAAAAAGGAAAUAGAAAUUCAAAACAAAAAUGCCUGUAUCUGAUGGGAAAGAUGAGCCCAAUGUUCUUUUUUAAAAAACCUUUAUUAUGAAAUAUUUCAACUGAACAUAUGCAGUUUAUAUUGUUAUAAAGCAUAACAAGCAAUCAAACAGCUGUGAACCCACCACUCCAUGUCAGAACUAGAACUUCCCAAAGCAGUCGGAGCUGAGGUGAGAUCCACUCUGAUGCCCUUCCCCAACUCCACGCCACCCCCCAAGACCUGACCACCUGAUUACUCUGGGAUUUCAUUUUUGUCUCGUUCCCUUGCUUUGCUUUAUGUCUUUACCAAAUGUGAAUGUGUGCCUAAACAAUACAGUGCUCGAUUUGCUUGUGUUUAAGCUUUAUUACAAAUAUAACUUUGAUCCUUCUGCUACUUGCAAUUCUAAAUUUGAUAUUACGAGUCUCAGCCUCAUCGGCGUUGAUGCGUGUGACCGACAUUGAUUCACUCUCACCAGUACGUGGUGUGUUCCGUUGCAUGCAUGCACCCCUGCUGGGGUAUCCAUUCUCCUGUUGGUGGACCUUUGGGUGGUAUUAGUUGCUGGUCAUCUCCAUGGUGCUGUCCUCUUGCAGGUCUCCAGGACACAUGUGCAUGAGUUCCUCUAGGAAACCACGGUGUACAACUGCUGGGUUGCAGGCCCAGGGUUCUUUCCACUUCUCUAUCCUCCCAAGUAGGGUCCAGCUGGCCUUAGUGCUGCCAUGCUGAGAGCUCUGGGAGGGGCAACCCAGGGCAGACAGGCCCAGGCCAGCCACCCUGCCCCAGGCAUUUCCCAGGACUCAUCAGGCACCCAGCGGCCCCUCAGCAGUGAGCAAUACCAGAAAUCUGCCAGCUGGCUACUAACUGGGUCACAAGAGAGUACUGCUGUCUCACUCAGGGUGCGUUCCAUUUCCUUCAGCACUUGCGCCAAGUAAGGCUGUGUUCACAGGCCACAAGACCCAAGGGAGAUGGAAAUCAGCUCACAGAUGCUGAGCUGACUGCACACCAGGCAGUGUGCAAAGCACCUUACACAUAUAACUCACUUAAUCCUCAUCCCUGACUGCACGAGGUGGGCACUAUUAUUAACCCCACUUUACAGAUAAGAAACUGAGGCGCAGGAAGUUGAAAAUUUUGCCCAGACCAACACGUACAACUUCAAAUCCAGACAGCCUGGCCGCUCUGCUCCUACUACUCUGCUACCCCAUCUCUCAAGAGGGGAAAAGGACUAGCUCCUUGCCCAAUCCUGAGGUUGUCAGCAUUCUUUUACUGGCAAGGAAAACAAAUGGAACUUCAAUGAAUAUAUGUAGAAAGAAAGACUUAUUAGCUGACAAAAAUCAAUAGAGAAAAGACAGGUUAGAAGCAGAUCUCAGGGCCCACUGGGUCCAGGGAGGCGAAAGCGCCCCUCCUUCUCCGUCUUCCUCCUCCACGUCUCUCUUUGUGCUGUUUUCAUUCUUUCCUAUUGCAAAAGGGCCUCCUCCCCUGGGCAGGUAGGUGGCUGCCUGCAACUCUCACCUCACCUUCUCACAGAUCUGCCUAUUUCUAUUUUAAAAUACAAACAAACCAAAAGCCAGAGAAGGUUCCUGACAGGCCCAGGAAAGGAUGUGAUUAGCUUAGUCUGGGCCACCUGCCCAUUUUUUAUGGACUAAAUGUUUGUGUGUCUCCAAAUUGGUAUGUGGAAGCCCUACCCCCAGUGUGACAGUAUUAGGAAGUGGGGCCUCUGAAAGGUCAUUAGGUUUCAAUGAGGUCAUGAGGGUGGGGGGAUCCAUGAUGGAAUUAGUGCCGUUAUAAGAAAAGGAAGAGACACCAGAGUUUUCUCUCCACCAUGUGAGGUUACAGCAAGAAGGCAGCUGUCUGCAAGCCUGAAGAGAGCCCUUACCAGGAGCCAAAUCUGCCAGCACCCUGAUCUUGGACUUCCAGAACUGUGAGAAAUAAAUUCCUGUUCCUGAAGCCACUCAGUCCGUGGGAUUCUAUUAGCAGUCGGGACUGACUUGGACACUGUUCCUGGAGCAACGCUAGUGGCCUGGGGAAGCUGGGCCCUGGGACUGGUGCAGGGAGGGCCACAGUCCCAGCCUAUAGCAGCUGAAGCUGCAUUUGUCCCCAGGAAGAGGACAUCACAGACACAACCCCAGAGGCAGUGGGAGGGGGCAUGAUUGAUUGGGAGCAAGGCAACAGUCUAACAGGGCCCAUCUGUGCCCAGGAGUGGGAGAAGCUCCUGGCCAUGAAGAGAGCCCUCACCAGAGGCCAAACCUACUAGGACCUUGAUCUUGGACUUCCAGCCUCCUCCCUGGAAACACGUGACAGCACAUAUGGGUGGUCUCCCUUCUUGAGCGAGGCCUGAGUCUUCACCCAGGAUCCAACUAGACUGAAAAGAACUGUCUCCCUAACAGCACUCCAUCAGCAUUCAGAGAAAAGAGAUUUCCACCUGGUGUUUUUAACCAACACAACCUCCUUCUACACCCUAACCCAUAGAGGGCCCUGGGACCAGUAUAAGAAGUGUGGGUGUUAAGCUGGGACUGCUAGAAGGAGCAGCAGCCCCAUGGGAGCAGGGCAGGAGGGUCCCCUCUUGACCUGCUGACUGCAAACACUGCAGCCGGAGAGACACUCACUCAGGCCACGGUGGGGAGGCCCAGGGGAGGCACGUGUCCUCAUUCUGCUAAGGCGAUAGGGCUCGGGCACAGGACAGGCGAUUUGA
rnacentral:lncRNA from 1 species